ACGGGGUGCAGCAGGCGCGAAAACUCCGCAAUGUUCGAAAGAACGACGGGGGAACUCCAAGUGCACUUACGCAAGUAAGUGGUUUUUAGUAGUGUAAAUAGCUGUUAGAAUAAGAGCUGGGUAAGACCGGUGCCAGCCGCCGCGGUAACACCGGCAGCUCGAGUGGUGACCGCUUUUAUUGGGCCUAAAGCGUUCGUAGCCGGUCCAGUAAGUCUUUGGGCAAAUCUUCUCGCUCAACGAAAAGAAUUCCGAAGAUACUGCUGGACUUGGGGCCGAGAGAGGUUAGAGGUACUCCUGGGGUAGGGGUGAAAUCCUAUAAUCCUGGGGGGACCGCCAGUGGCGAAGGCGUCUAACCAGAGCGGACCCGACGGUGAGGGACGAAAGCCAGGGGCGCGAACGGGAUUAGAUACCCCGGUAGUCCACGCCGUAAACGAUGCUGACUGAGUGUUACGUGACCCUCGCGGUCACGUAGUGCUGGAGGGUAACCGUUAAGUCAGCCGCCUGGGAGUACGUCGCAAGGC
rnacentral:rRNA from 1 species